GAAUAAACUCUGAACUUAUUAGUUUCAUUGAUGUUUUUGAUUCAAUGUACUUUAUUCACACUGAAUUAGUCGAAGAAUUCAAGAGAUUAAGACUCGAAUAGGAUCAGUUAAUUGGGCGAAAUUGGCGAAUCAAAGCUAAACCAAAGGAAAAGAUGGAAAACGAAAAUUGCUCAACUUUGGAUUGACAGCUUCAAUGGUUAUGUAGAUUUGGAUAUGCAGUUUAUAUUUUUAACGCAAACCAAAGAUGUGCCAGGUUACACUAAGCAGAUGCAUGAAUACACAAAUAACAGAAUAAAUAAGAAAUACAAUGUUUAAGAUAUAAAAGUAA